CAGUCCGCUUUUGCAGAGGGCAGGCGGAAGGGGAAACGUGCUGCUAGGAGGGGGCGGCUAGGAGGGGGCCCCCCCGCCCCAGCCACCUGCCACUACACGGAUCCAGCUGAUGCCGCAUGGGGCGGGGCAGCGAGAGCUUCUUUGUGAUGCUGUUAGGACGCCUUCUAGGAUUAAAUGGAUUGGGGAACAAGGGUCGACAUCAUGCUAUGUCCUGCGGUUCCGGGCGCCGCCCGCAUCUGCCGAGUCUCUCAGCCUCUUGGGGGCUGACGGCGCUAGCUGCCUCAGUGUUUCCCAGGUUUUUCUAGCCCUGGCUUUGUUAUGAAACGGCGUUCCGCGGUCUUUGGUUUUUCUCCGCGCAGUUUUGCACUGGCACUUCUGACGUCACGCGCCACUUGACUGCUGGCUCCCGCCUGCGCACCAAAGCUGUAAGUGGACGUGGCAGACGCGUCUAUGGUGACGAGGGGCAUGUAGCAAAGUGAUGGCUCUUGCCACUGGAGCGCGGGUGGUCCCGGGCACUCCGAGGAUGCACCCGGCGGCAGCAGCGGUGGUUCGUGAGGUCGCGGCAAGGGCGAACUGGCUUGAAAUGCAAACGCUACCGAGCCGGCAGAGACGGGGCAGCUCCUGCAAAUAAGGGCUGCUGCUCCCCCUUUGUUUUUUCAUCCGUCUGUGGACACGGCGGGAUGCGGCGUUCCGCGGCCCCGGGCACCGGCGGCUCUUCGUAUGGCAUGGGCGACGCCAGGAGAGCUCCGGCAGCAGGGUCGUCAGCUUCUCUUCCAGUUUCUGAUGCUGUGAUGCUUCCGGGAUUUGGUGGGUGCACCAGAGGGAGUCCCAGGCUCCACGACAGAGGCGAUUUCAGCAGCUACCUCCACAUGUUCGGCUACCACCCGCGUUCUGUCAUUUUAUGAUGUUUUGGCGGGGUUUGCCUACGGUGCAUGCACUCUGCCACCUUGAGCGGGCAGCUCCUGCACACUUCGCGACCGCCAUGUUGGGUGAGUGACUCUCGUACUAUGUCCUGUCCCCCAUGUUGGAGUUUUUCGGCGGGCUGUCCCCGUGGCAUUUCCACUGCUGUCCCUGCAUCUCGCUUGGCUUUCAACCACCCCAACCAGAACCUCCCGAUUUCUGCCGGUUUUAUCUACCAAGACCAGACGGUUAUCUAUGAAGCUGACUCCCAGAGACUUUCACACGGAUGUUUAUUUCGGCCACCACUGCUUGCCUGACAAAAUAAUGAUAGCAAAAAAACCCAAAAAUUAUUAAUUACCACAAGAGACCACGCUGUAAGAAGAAGCUGCAAACCAAGAUUCCACAGAGCGUGGAGUGGGCAGUAACCCCUCAUGCCUCCCCAGCGCUGCUUUGCUUUGUCUAUAUAAAAUAAAGCAAUAUAAAUUUUGAUGAA